UGUGACCUCAAAUCAGGUAGGACUACCCGCUGAACUUAAGCAUAUCAAUAAGCGGAGGAAAAGAAACUAACAAGGAUUCCCCUAGUAACUGCGAGUGAAGCGGGAAAAGCUCAAAUUUAAAAUCUGGCGGUCUUUUGGCUGUCCGAGUUGUAAUCUAGAGAAGUGUUAUCCGCGCUGGACCG
rnacentral:rRNA from 1 species